AACGUAGGACGCAAGCGUUAUCCGGAGUUACUGGGCGUAAAGGGCGCGCAGGCGGCUGCUCAAGUCAGGCGUGAAAGGCCUGGGCUCAACCCGGGAAUUGCGCUUGAGACUGGGCUGGCUUGAGUGCGGGAGAGGAUGGUGGAAUUCCCAGUGUAGAGGUGAAAUUCGUAGAUAUUGGGAAGAACACCGGUGGCGAAGGCGGCCAUCUGGACCGCAACUGACGCUGAGGCGCGAAAGCGUGGGGAGCAAACAGG
rnacentral:rRNA from 1 species